UACGGAGGGUGCGAGCGUUAUCCGGAUUCACUGGGUUUAAAGGGUGCGUAGGUGGGCAGGUAAGUCAGCGGUGAAAUCCCCGAGCUUAACUUGGGAACUGCCAUUGAUACUAUCUGUCUUGAAUACCUUGGAGGUGAGCGGAAUAUGUCAUGUAGCGGUGAAAUGCUUAGAUAUGACAUAGAACACCAAUUGCGAAGGCAGCUCACUACACGGUCAUUGACACUGAGGCACGAAAGCGUGGGGAUCAAACAGG
rnacentral:rRNA from 1 species